rnacentral:rRNA from 1 species
UGAAGCUUUGAUCCCUGGCUCAGGACGAACGCUGGCGGCAUGCCUAAUACAUGCAAGUCGAGCGGAGUUUUGUUGAAAGCUUGCUUUCAACAGGAUUUAGCGGCGGACGGGUGAGUAACACGUAGGCAACCUGCCCCAUAGCCUGGGAUAAACUACCGGAAACGGUAGCUAAUACCGGAUAAUUCCUUUCCCCACCUGGGAAGAGGAUGAAAGACGGAGUAAUCUGUCGCUGAGGGAUGGGCCUGCGGCGCAUUAGCUAGUUGGUGGGGUAACGGCUCACCAAGGCGACGAUGCGUAGCCGACCUGAGAGGGUGAACGGCCACACUGGGACUGAGACACGGCCCAGACUCCUACGGGAGGCAGCAGUAGGGAAUCUUCCGCAAUGGGCGCAAGCCUGACGGAGCAAUGCCGCGUGAGUGAUGAAGGUUUUCGGAUCGUAAAGCUCUGUUGCCAGGGA